UACGUAGGGUCCGAGCGUUGUCCGGAAUUAUUGGGCGUAAAGGGCUCGUAGGCGGUUUGUCGCGUCGGGAGUGAAAACUCAGGGCUCAACCCUGAGCGUGCUUCCGAUACGGUCAGACUAGAGGUAUGCAGGGGAGAACGGAAUUCCUGGUGUAGCGGUGGAAUGCGCAGAUAUCAGGAGGAACACCGGUGGCGAAGGCGGUUCUCUGGGCAGGACCUGACGCUGAGGAGCGAAAGCAUGGGGAGCGAACAGG
rnacentral:rRNA from 1 species